GUGUUGUAUGAAAGGAGAGAAGGUUAGCACUCCCCUUGAUAAGGAUGGAAGAGGUCCUAGUGGCCUUUACAACACACAUAUGGUUAAGGCAUUGCUACCUACUCUGUGGUAUCUAACCUGUUUUUUUU
rnacentral:ncRNA from 1 species